CCUACGGGUGGCAGCAGUAGGGAAUCUUCCACAAUGGACGCAAGCCUGAUGCAGCAACGCCGCGUGAGGGAAGAAGGCUUUCGGGUUGUAAACUUCUUUUGACAGGGAAGAGCAGUAGACGGUACCUGUCGACUAAGCCACGGCUAACUACGUUCCAGCAGCCGCGGUAAUACGUAGGUGGCAAGCGUUGUCCGGAUUUAGUGGGUGUAAAGGGCGUGUAGCCGGGCUUACAAGUCAGAUGUGAACUCCGGGGGCUCAACCCCCGAACUGCAUUUGAAACUGUUGGUCUUGAGUAUCGGAGAGGCAGGCGGAAUUCCUAGUGUAGCGGUGAAAUGCGUAGAUAUAAGGAGGAACACCAGUGGCGAAGGCGGCCUGCUGGACGGCAACUGACGGUGAGGCGCGAAAGCGUGGGUAGCAAACAGGAUUAGAUACCCCUGUAGUC
rnacentral:rRNA from 1 species